rnacentral:lncRNA from 1 species
GGCGACGUUCGUCCGCCGGACUCGGAAUGCGGCGAGACUUUGCGAGGGGCCUCGGGGUGCCAAAAAUAAGCCGCGGGCAAAGCCGCGCCCAGAAAUAAGCGCCCGAAGGUCGUGGUGCCAAAACCCCCCAGCGGAAAAAUGGCCAAAAAACGGGUGGGCUAUAGCCUUGGUGGGGGGCGCGGGCGAAGUUCGUCCGCCGGACUCGGAAUGGGGCGAGACUUUGCGAGGGGCCUCGGGGUGCCAAAAAUAAGCCGCGGGCAAAGCCGCGCCCAAAAAUAAGCGCCCGAAGGUCGUGGUGUCAAAACCCCCCAGCGGAAAAAUGGCCAAAAAACGGGUGGGCUAUAGCCUUGGUGGGGGGCGCAGGCGAAGUUCGUCCGCCGGACUCGGAAUGCGGCGAGACUUUGCGAGGGGCCUCGGGGUGCCAAAAAUAAGCCGCGGGCAAAGCCGCGCCCGAAGGUCGUGGUGCCAAAACCCCUCAGCGGAAAAAUGGCCAAAAAACGGGUGGGCUAUAGCCUUGAUGGGGGGCGCGGGCGACGUUCGUCCGCCGGACUCGGAAUGCGGCGAGACUUUGCGAGGGGCCUCGGGGUGCCAAAAAUAAGCCGCGGGCAAAGCCGCGCCCAAAAAUAAGCGCUCGAAGGUCGUGGUGCCAAAACCCCCUAGCGGAAAAAUGGCCAAAAAACGGGUGGGCUAUAGCCUUGGUGGGGGGCGCGGGCGACGUUCGUCCGCCGGACUCGGAAUGCGGCGAGACUUUGCGAGGGGCCUCGGGGUGCCAAAAAUAAGCCGCGGGCAAAGCCGCGCCCAGAAAUAAGCGCCCGAAGGUCGUGGUGCCAAAACCCCCCAGCGGAAAAAUGGCCAAAAAACGGGUGGGCUAUAGCCUUGGUGGGGGGCGCGGGCGAAGUUUGUCCGCCUGACUCGGAAUGGGGCGAGACUUUGCGAGGGGACUCGGGGUGCCAAAAAUAAGCCGCGGGCAAAGCCGCGCCCAAAAAUAAGCGCCCGAAGGUCGUGGUGCCAAAAACCCCCAGCGGAAAAAUGGCCAAAAAACGGGUGGGCUAUAACCUUGGUGGGGGGCGCGGGCGAAGUUCGUCCGCCGGACUCGGAAUGGGACGAGACUUUGCGAGGGGCCUCGGGGUGCCAAAAAUAAGCCGCGGGCACAGCCGCGCCCAAACAUAAGCGCCCGAAGGUCGUGGUGCCAAAACCCCCCAGCGGAAAAAUGGCCAAAAAACGGGUGGGCUAUAGCCUUGAUGGGGGGCGCGGGCGACGUUCGUCCGCCGGACUCGGAAUGCGGCGAGACUUUGCGAGGGGCCUCGGGGUGCCAAAAAUAAGCCGCGGGCAAAGCCAAAAAAUGGGGCGAGAAAAAUGGUAAAGUCCCCCCACCAAGCGCCCGAAGGUCGUGGUGCCGAAACCCCCCAGCGGAAAAAUGGCCAAAAAACGGGUGGGCUAUAGCCUUGGUGGGGGGCGCGGGCGAAGUUCGUCCGCCGGACUCGGAAUGCGGCGAGACUUUGCGAGGGGCCUCGGGGUGCCAAAAAUAAGCCGCGGGCAAAGCCGCGCCCAAAAAUAAGCGCCCGAAGGUCGUGGUGCCAAAACCCCCCAGCGGAAAAAUGGCCAAAAAAUGGGUGGGCUAUAGCCUUGGUGGGGGGCGCGGGCGAAGUUCUUCCGCCGGACUCGGAAUGCGGCGAGACUUUGCGAGGGGCCUCGGGGUGCCAAAAAUAAGCCGCGGGCAAAGCCGCGCCCAAAAAUAAGCGCCCGAAGGUCGAGGUGCCAAAACCCCCCAGCGGAAAAAUGGCCAAAAAACGGGUGGGCUAUAGCCUUGGUGCGGGGCGCGGGCGACGUUCGUCCGCCGGACUCGGAAUGGGGCGAGACUUUGCGAGGGGCCUCGGGGUGCCAAAAAUAAGCCGCGGGCAAAGCUGCGCCCAAAAAUACGCGCCCGAAGGUCGUGGUGCCAAGACCCCCCAGCGGAAAAAUGGCCAAAAAACGGGUGGGCUAUAGCCUUGGUGGGGGGCGCGGGCGAAGUUCGUCCGCCGGACUCGGAAUGCGGCGAGACUUUGCGAGGGGCCUCGGGGUGCCAAAAAUAAGCCGCGGGCAAAGCCGCGCCCAAAAAUAAGCGCAUCAAGGUCGUGGUGCCAAAACCCCCCAGCGGAAAAAUGGACAAAAAAUGGGUGGGCUAUAGCCUUGGUGGGGGGCGCGGGCGAAGUUCGUCCGCCGGACUCGGAAUGCGGCGAGACUUUGCGAGGGGCCUCGGGGUGCCAAAAAUAAGCCGCGGGCAAAGCCGCGCCCAAAAAUAAGCGCCCGAAGGUCGUGGUGCCAAAACCCCCCAGCGGAAAAAUGGCCAAAAAACGGGUGGGCUAUAGCCUUGGUGGGGGGCGCGGGCGACGUUCGUCCGCCGGACUCGGAAUGCGGCGAGACUUUGCGAGGGGCCUCGGGGUGCCAAAAAUAAGCCGCGGGCAAAGCCGCGCCCAAAAAUAAGCGCUCGAAGGUCGUGGUGCCAAAACCCCCUAGCGGAAAAAUGGCCAAAAAACGGGUGGGCUAUAGCCUUGGUGGGGGGCGCGGGCGACGUUCGUCCGCCGGACUCGGAAUGCGGCGAGACUUUGCGAGGGGCCUCGGGGUGCCAAAAAUAAGCCGCGGGCAAAGCCGCGCCCAGAAAUAAGCGCCUGAAGGUCGUGGUGCCAAAACCCCCCAGCGGAAAAAUGGCCAAAAAACGGGUGGGCUAUAGCCUUGGUGGGGGGCGCGGGCGAAGUUUGUCCGCCUGACUCGGAAUGGGGCGAGACUUUGCGAGGGGCCUCGGGGUGCCAAAAAUAAGCCGCGGGCAAAGCCGCGCCCAAAAAUAAGCGCCCGAAGGUCGUGGUGCCAAAACCCCCCAGCGGAAAAAUGGCCAAAAAACGGGUGGGCAAUAACCUUGGUGGGGGGCGCGGGCGAAGUUCGUCCGCCGGACUCGGAAUGGGACGAGACUUUGCGAGGGGCCUCGGGGUGCCAAAAAUAAGCCGCGGGCACAGCCGCGCCCAAACAUAAGCGCCCGAAGGUCGUGGUGCCAAAACCCCCCAGCGGAAAAAUGGCCAAAAAACGGGUGGGCUAUAGCCUUGAUGGGGGGCGCGGGCGACGUUCGUCCGCCGGACUCGGAAUGCGGCGAGACUUUGCGAGGGGCCUCGGGGUGCCAAAAAUAAGCCGCGGGCAAAGCCAAAAAAUGGGGCGAGAAAAAUGGUAAAGUCCCCCCACCAAGCGCCCGAAGGUCGUGGUGCCGAAACCCCCCAGCGGAAAAAUGGCCAAAAAACGGGUGGGCUAUAGCCUUGGUGGGGGGCGCGGGCGAAGUUCGUCCGCCGGACUCGGAAUGCGGCGAGACUUUGCGAGGGGCCUCGGGGUGCCAAAAAUAAGCCGCGGGCAAAGCCGCGCCCAAAAAUAAGCGCCCGAAGGUCGUGGUGCCAAAACCCCCCAGCGGAAAAAUGGCCAAAAAAUGGGUGGGCUAUAGCCUUGGUGGGGGGCGCGGGCGAAGUUCUUCCGCCGGACUCGGAAUGCGGCGAGACUUUGCGAGGGGCCUCGGGGUGCCAAAAAUAAGCCGCGGGCAAAGCCGCGCCCAAAAAUAAGCGCCCGAAGGUCGAGGUGCCAAAACCCCCCAGCGGAAAAAUGGCCAAAAAACGGGUGGGCUAUAGCCUUGGUGCGGGGCGCGGGCGACGUUCGUCCGCCGGACUCGGA